rnacentral:rRNA from 1 species
CAGCAGGCGCGCAAAUUACCCACUCCCGGCACGGGGAGGUAGUGACGAAAAAUAACGAUACGGGACUCAUCCGAGGCCCCGUAAUCGGAAUGAGUACACUCUAAACCCUUUAACGAGUAUCCAUUGGAGGGCAAGUCUGGUGCCAGCAGCCGCGGUAAUUCCAGCUCCAAUAGCGUAUAUUAAAGUUGUUGCGGUUAAAAAGCUCGUAGUUGGACUUGUGUCCCACGCUGUCGGUUCACCGUUNGUCGGUGUUUAACUGGCAUGCCCGUGCGGACGUCCUGCCGGUGGAUGCGGUCGGCCGUGGGCCUCUGGUCUGCGUGUCGGCGGUCCGAUGCAAUCCUACCGCGGUGCUCUUCACCGAGUGUCGAGGUGGGCCGGCACGUUUACUUUGAACAAAUUAGAGUGCUCAAAGCAGGCAGUGGUUCGCCUGAAUAUUGUGUGCAUGGAAUAAUGGAAUAGGACCUCGGUUCUAUUUUGUUGGUUUUCGGAACCUGAGGUAAUGAUUAAUAGGGACAGACGGGGGCAUUCGUAUUGCGACGUUAGAGGUGAAAUUCUUGGAUCGUCGCAAGACGAACCUAAGCGAAAGCAUUUGCCAUGAGUGUUUUCAUUAAUCAAGAACGAAAGUUAGAGGUUCGAAGGCGAUCAGAUACCGCCCUAGUUCUAACCAUAAACGAUGCCAGCUAGCGAUCCGCCGAAGUUCCUCCGAUGACUCGGCGGGCAGCUUCCGGGAAACCAAAGCUUUUGGGUUCCGGGGGAAGUAUGGUUGCAAAGCUGAAACUUAAAGGAAUUGACGGAAGGGCACCACCAGGAGUGGAGCCUGCGGCUUAAUUUGACUCAACACGGGAAACCUCACCAGGCCCGGACACCGGAAGGAUUGACAGAUUGAUAGCUCUUUCUUG